GUUUCAAUCCUCUUGUAUGGCUGUGUGCACGGACUGGGAUCUGGAAAGUCUGGACUCAUCGAUGAGCUGGGCAAGAGACAACGCAGCAUGUCCCAAGAGCUGACGGAGAUAUACGAAGCAGUGUCUGAGCUUCAACAAGACAUGGAGAAACUCCAAGAAAUUGGCGGAAACGAGACAAAC